rnacentral:sRNA from 1 species
UUUUUUUUUCACUUGUUUCUGUCUUCCGGUUGCUAAUUUACUUUCUCGUUUUCAGACCAUGUUUCAUUUAUGUCAGUUUCAGGCUUAUGAACUAACUGAAGAUUCUUUGGUUGUCGCCAUUUCUUACCAUUAGUACUCAAAGAACAGACCGCUCCCUCGCCAAGAGUGAUGUUGUGGUCGACAAAAUGUUUGACGAACCAGACGUUAUCACAAGAACACGUCAGACUCAGGUCGUUCAGUUCCACGUACUCCAACGCAUCUAGUCCGGAAAACAGGUUGUUAGGAAUGACGGUGAUGGGGUUGUCCCGGAUGAUGAGUCUUCGAAGUUGGGUGUUCUGGGAAAAUGUCGACAAUUCCAGUGAGGUUAGCCCAUUAUUUUCGAGAAUAAUCGUGUUUACCGUGGUCAGAGGGUAGAAAAAGCCGGUCGUAAAGGUUCCUCCCGUUAUGGCAACAUUUGUAAAAUUUAGGAUUCCGCUAGACUCAGACAAAGUUGAAGAGAUGCUAAUGUUGAAAUUAGCCAUGCUGUCUGCUGCGGUUGCAGCAAUGGACCCUCCCUCAAUAACAAGGAUGUGUAAGUUCUGAAGAUCGGAAAAGACAAAUUCCGGUAGGCCGUUUGUGAGCCUGCAAUCUUUGAUAUACAGUUCCUCCAGGUAGGACAUUUGGGAGAACGUCCCCAGGGAUAUAAGGGCCUGACCCGAGGGGUUACCCGAGGAACAUCUGAGCUCCAGGUACGACGUGAAGUCUUUGUCAUGGCUUCCUGUGGCGUAACUCCCGAACCCGUUGAAAGUCUUCGUUGGGCUCGAGACUGGUAGAUUCCCGUUGAUGUUCCGUAUUUUAAGACGCUGGGGGAUCGGGCUGGUGAAGGUACUGUAGGUAGCAGGGAGGGUCAUCACCGUGAAGUCACAGGUAUACAAACCACGUGACCCAGUGUCUGUACUGUAGGUACAUCCUGUGGGGGCCGCCGACUUGACUGGCCAUAAAUAGAGUGUCAGCCAACAAAUCAAAUACACCAAACUCUUCAUGAUGGACGGAAAUUACUGGAAGAUUCACAUCUUACAUUUUCACACACUGGGUCGAUUCCAGUUUUAUUUCUUUCUUUAACAAAGCUGACCCCAGCAGGCGAAUAUCAACAUUUAAUUUCUUUCCUUUUUUCGAUAAUAAUGUAAUCCACUUCUAGCCAGAUUAACCAUUUCUCUAGAGUGUGUAUGUAUGUCGUAGAACUUUUCACUUUCAGGUUAAUCGGAGAUUAACAGCUUUUACUCUAUGAAAUCAAAGAACAUUAACAGGUAGUUCAUGGUAUCAUAAUUAAUAUAUUUAUAUGUUUUUCAUGUCUCGAAUUCUCAAAUUAGUUCGUCGAUAUUUACUCUAGUACGAAACUAGAAAAUGUACACUAGUGCCUGAGAAUAAAAAAAAAUUGGC